AGUCUUAUAUUCAAAAAUGAUAUUAAAUUGCAAAUUUAAAGGUAACAAAAUGUUUAAGGCUU
rnacentral:tRNA from 1 species